CAUCAGAAUUGUCGAGUGGAAGAUGAGGAUGAAACCAUCUUAGGAAUCAUGACAAACAAAAUAACAUAAUAAAUUAAGAUUAGGAUGAUGAUGGGAGCGGAAGCCUCCAGCUCUCAACAGGUUGCCUCUCAGAUGUUAGCGAUCUCUUUUCCCUCAUCCGAAGGGGCAAGAUACUUUUUCACAUAAAUAAAUUUUAAAUUUCAUUCACGGACGCUUUUGCCUAGGUAAACUCGAACGAGAGAAAAUUCAUGUGCCUCAGCUCCUGUAGAUCCAUAAAAAAAAAAAAAAAGUUUCCAUCCUUAAAUAUCAAGACACCCCUAAACCCCAAAACGGCCAAACCCCAAAAUCGCCCAGCCCCAAAACCUCAGCAUUUCCCUCUUUUUCUAUUUCCGCAUCCUAACAAACCCUGAACCCCCAAACCCUCGACAUUUCCCUCUUUUCUAUCUCCCCGUCCGAGUAAACCAGCAGCGUAAAGCCAGUCACAGAGCCGCUGGGCACGUCCGAUCUCCAGCGCAGCCUCCAACUCCUGCGAGUGCUGUUUUCGAUAAACUGAAUGAAGAUGUUGUCAGCGUCACUGCCGACAGAGGCCUAGGCGGCUAGGCCGGGUGCUGCCAUGGCCAAACACCUGUUGGGAGCGUUGUUCAACAGCUGUUCCACCACUUCGCCAAUCAUUAAACAAUUACUAGGCGUUCCAGGUGAAUCGCUUGGAUAGCACAGGCCUCUCUGCUCAGGCUUAAAUAAAUGUUGGAAUUGUGGUGAUUAAGAUAAUGUUGGGGGACUUUUAUAUAACAAUGAUUGUCCAAUCAA